rfam:Felis catus isolate Cinnamon breed Abyssinian chromosome D3, whole genome shotgun sequence.
ACCUGGCUGGCUCAGUUGGUAGAGCAUGUGAUUUGAUUUCAGGGUUGUGGGUUUGAGCCCCACAUUGGGUG